CAAGGAAUUUUCCCCAAUGGGCAGAAGCCUGAGGGAGCAACGCCGCGUGCGGGACGACGGCCUUCGGGUUGUAAACCGCUUCUGGUGGGGACGAUGCUGACGGUACCCGCCGAAUAAGCCUCGGCUAACUCUGUGCCAGCAGCCGCGGUACGACAGAGGAGGCCAGCGUUGUCCGGACUGACUGGGCGUAAAGCGCGCGCAGGCGGAUGUGGGCGUCGGUGCUGAAAGGCCCCCGCUUAACGGGGGACGGCGUGCCGAUACGCCAUAUCUGGAGGGCGGGCGAGGGUGGUGGAAUUGCCGGUGUAGUGGUGAAAUGCGUAGAGAUCGGCAGGAACACCCGUGGCGCAGGCGACCACCUAGCCCGCACCUGACGCUGAGGCGCGACAGCGUGGGGAGCGAAC
rnacentral:rRNA from 1 species